GGCGGUGUAGCUCAGUGGCAGAGCAGGGGACUCAUAAGCCCUUGGUCGGUAGUUCAAAUCUACUCGCCGCCA
rnacentral:tRNA from 1 species